rnacentral:misc_RNA from 1 species
UCCGGUUUGGCACCGGCAGUCCCGGGGGUUGCGCUCGUUGCGGGACUUAACCCAACAUCUCACGACACGAGCUGACGACGGCCAUGCACCACCUGUGCUCGAGUCCCGAAGGAGGGCCGAAUUUCUCCGGCUUUCCCGAGCAUGUCAAGCCCUGGUAAGGUUCUUCGCGUCGCGUCGAAUUAAACCACAUGCUCCGCUGCUUGUGCGGGCCCCCGUCAAUUCCUUUGAGUUUUAGCCUUGCGGCCGUACUCCCCAGGCGGGGCGCUUAAUGCGUUAGCUGCGGCACGGAACCCGUGGAAUGGAUCCCACACCUAGCGCCCAACGUUUACGGUGUGGACUAC